GUCCUUUUGACUAUAAUUUAAGGUCUAGCCUGCCCACUGAAAUUUUAAAUGGCCGUGGUAUUUUGACCGUGCUAAGGUAGCAUAAUCAUUAGUUUUUUAAUUAAGAACUGGAAUGAAAGGUUGGAUAAGAAAAUAACUGUCUCUGUUAAAUUUAAUUAAAAUUUUAUUUUUAAGUUAAAAAGCUUAAGUGUAUUUAAAAGACGAGAAGACCCUAUAGAGUUUAAUUAUUUAAUGAAAAUUAUAUUUUAGUAUUUAUUUAUUUAUUUUAUUUAAUAAUUUAAUUGGGGUGAUUGAAAAAUUAAAUAAACUUUUUUUAUUUUAUAACAUUAAUUUAUGAAAAAAUGAUCCAAUAUUUUUGAUUAUAAGAUAAAAUUACCUUAGGGAUAACAGCGUAAUUUUUUUAUAGAGUUCAUAUUAAAAAAAAAGAUUGCGACCUCGAUGUUGGAUUAAAAUUAAUUUUUGGUGUAGAAGCUAAAAUAUUGGGUCUGUUCGCACCUUUGAAAUUUUACA
rnacentral:rRNA from 1 species